rnacentral:snoRNA from 1 species
AGUUCCCACCAGAAGUCUUGUGAUGACCAAUUCCUUCCUUGGAUGUUUGA